CUUCCAACAUGGAGGGGUAAGGAGGCAGAAAAGGUCAUCCUUGUAGCCACUGGAUAUGUUUUUGUUAAAGAUAAGCAUCCAAGAAAAUGUUACAAUUUGAUGAAUACUAACAGCAGCCCUUUGUAUGGGCUUGAUGAAUCAGUAGAUUUGCAAACUUUUCACUCCACCAGCAGGGAAACCUUUGUAAUAUUCAAACCUGUCCAAAGAUGAUAUGAGCUACUCCAGGGAACUGUGAGAUUCCUGACAUGGAAAGUACUUAUAAACUUGUCGAAAAUGCGGGGGCAAACCCAAUAAUCCCAGCUGGAGCAUUGCAGUGGAUAUUGAUGACCGUUGGAGAAGAAAGAAUAAAUUCUGUCUUUGAGGAACUUUCCCAAGGUCAACUGGCCAGUAGCAGAAUUCAACUAGAUGUCAGAGGCUCUAUCUAGUUCAACUAUCUCAAUCUACCACAAUCCCAAGCACUGAAAAGACCCUAGAGAUAUGGAAGUUGGCUGACUUUAGGUAGGUUAGAUAAUUAACAGCUUGCCUCACAGCCAAUACAGACUUACAGGAAUAUUAAGUAGACUGGCUACCUGGGAAGAGCAGAGAAUUAAAGAAAAAUACUCAAGGAGUGGUAGAAGGAAGGACCUAUAUGCACACUUCUCAACUUUAUCAAGACCCAGCCUAGGUUUCCAGAAGUAUUAUGUGCUCAGUGGUGUCCAACUGUGUGUGACCCCAUGGAUUUUAGCCCUCCAGGCUCCUAUGUCCAUGGACUUUUUCCAGGCAAGAAUGCAGGAGUGAGUUGCCACUUCCUCCUCCAGGGAAUCUUCACAACCCCCUAGCACCAUCUGAGAAGCCAGGCUUCCACAAACCAUAUCCAAAAUGCCAAACCAUCUGGCCGUCAACAAAGAAGUAUGAGAGGUACAAUUCUCCCAAGUCAGCAGACCUCAAGCUCUGUCUGCCUCUUCAAGGGAAUCUUCCCGACCCGAGGAUUGAACCCACGUCUCCCGAGGCUCCUGCACUGGCAGGCAGAUUCUUUACCAUUGAGCCAUCUGGGAAGCCCUCCUGUAUAUAGCCCAGGGA
ensembl:lncRNA